rnacentral:ncRNA from 2 species
AUACCGGGUGCUGUAGGCUUU